ACGGAAGGCGCAGUGGGGAAUAUUGCACAAUGGGGGAAACCCUGAUGCAGCGACGCCGCGUGAGCGAUGAAGUAUUUCGGUAUGUAAAGCUCUAUCAGCAGGGAAGAUAAUGACGGUACCUGACUAAGAAGCACCGGCUAAAUACGUGCCAGCAGCCGCGGUAAUACGUAUGGUGCAAGCGUUAUCCGGAUUUACUGGGUGUAAAGGGUGCGUAGGUGGCAUGGCAAGUCUGAAGUGAAAGCUCGGGGCUCAACCCCGGAACUGCUUUGGAAACUGUCAAGCUAGAGUGCAGGAGAGGAAAGCGGAAUUCCUAGUGUAGCGGUGAAAUGCGUAGAUAUUAGGAGGAACACCAGUGGCGAAGGCGGCUUUCUGGACUGUAACUGACACUGAGGCACGAAAGCGUGGGGAGCAAACAGGAUUAGAUACCCUGGUA
rnacentral:rRNA from 1 species